GAGAGGACUCGGCUAUGUCGGAUUUUCAGAAAGAAUAAAUUUUAACCAGUUUUCUAAAAAUCAAAGUUAUAUUUUUAGUGUUGCUUUUCGAGUGUAUGGAUUUCAGAAUGAAAACUGAAAAAGAGAAGCUAUAUCUUCAAAGCAAAAUUCAACCCAUAUAUUGUAUCUGUUAGCAAAUAUGUAUGGGAAACAUGAAUCUAGGUGGCUCAUUAUUAUUUUGAUAAUAGUGUGUUUUUUUAAUGUGUCUGUACAUUAAAAAUAGCAUCUUAAAACUAAAGUAGAAAUGUUACCCUUAUCUACCCAUGACAUAUUCAAGUUCAAAACAAUAUUUUGAAUUAUAAAAAUUCAGAUAAUGAUGUUUAAUGCAUUGGGAAGAGUAUUCCAUUCUUUAAUACUACAUAUAAUAUUUCUUUAAAACGGCUAAUAUUAGAUCUUUAUGUUCAACUUUUUGAGCAUUAGGAUUUUGAGAAUGAAGAGCUGUAUAUGUGAAAUCCACUUAUGUAAAAGUUCUCUUUUAAAGAAGAAAAUACAUGAUUGCUGAUAAAAUCAUUACUAUUUACUUUUGAGUUUUAGUUGCACUUAGAAAAUAUCUGCCCAUUAUCAUCAGUGUAUAUAUUUUUUUUUUGCAAGUAAUUUACUUUCCCCAAAAUGUGGUUACAGUUGUUUUUCUGG
rnacentral:lncRNA from 1 species